AUGAAGAGGUUGCAUCUCUUAUCAGUAACCCGCAACAGGUGAAUGAGCACCGAACGGCGGAGGAAAGGAAGGGAUGCCGAAACAGGUGCUGGCUUAUUCCAGCAGGCUGUUGGGCUAUGACUGAAUAAGUCAUGGACUGUCGCUAAAAUGCGGGGCGCUUCC
rnacentral:ncRNA from 1 species